UACGGGGGGGGGUAAGCGUUGUUCGGAAUUACUGGGCGUAAAGGGCUCGUAGGCGGCCAACUAAGUCAUACGUGAAAUCCCUCGGCUCAACCGGGGAACUGCGUCUGAUACUGGGUGGCUUGAAUCCGGGAGAGGGAUGCGGAAUUCCAGGUGUAGCGGUGAAAUGCGUAGAUAUCAGGAGGAACACCGGUGGCGAAGGCGGGUCUCUGGGCAACAACUGACGCUGAGGAGCGAAAGCGUGGGGAGCGAACAGG
rnacentral:rRNA from 1 species